AUCUUUGUGCAGUGGCAGUAUCGUAGCCAAUGAGGUUUAUCCGAGGUGCAAUUAUUGCUUAAUGGAAAAAAAAAAAAAAGGUUAGCGAUAAAAAAAAAAAAAAUGAUUUCUAGGGUUUGGAGUCCAAAGUUCCAAUCCCAGCUCUGCAACCUUCUGUUACCUUGACCAAG
rnacentral:snRNA from 1 species